rnacentral:rRNA from 1 species
UACGUAGGGUGCAAGCGUUGUCCGGAAUCAUUGGGCGUAAAGCGCGCGUAGGUGGCUCUGUAAGUCCGUUGUGAAAGUCAAAGGCUCAACCUUUGAAUGCCGACUGGAUACUGCAGAGCUAGAGUACGGAAGAGGCGAGUGGAAUCCUGGUGUAGCGGUGGAAUGCGCAGAUAUCAGGAGGAACACCAAUAGCGAAGGCAGCUCGCUGGGACGUUACUGACACUAAGGCGCGAAAGCGUGGGGAGCGAACAGG